CCGCCAUGGCAACCACUUCCGGGUCGCUCGCCGUCGCGGAGGAAGAAGGCGUGGCCAAAUGGGCGAGGCCUCGGGGGAGCCAAUCCGAGGUCAGCAGCGCGGGCUCGCCCGCGGACACCUGGAGCAUGCGCACUAGGUGCCCUCUGGGACAUCCUCUGGCCUUUCCUUAAAUGACUCAAGAAGGACCCAUUUAUUUUCAGCAUUGACCUGACCUGCUUCUCUGACAAGUCCCUUUAAGUCAGAAAUAAGGUUUAGAGGAGUACCUUACACCAUACUGAACAAAUUUAAAAUGGACAUGUGACCAAAAGCUGCUAGAAUUAGAAAAUUACAAGAGAAGCCAUCAUCUUCCAUCCACCUACAGCAACAGAGAAGGCAUAAAGGAGAGGCAAUCACUGAAGCCUGAAUGUCAUUUUUAUUAUAUGAAAUUAACACGUUUUCUAAAAAUAAUAAUGCAGCUGGGAAAAUAGAAAAAAAUUCUCAAUAUCUAACAUCUGAGAUUCUAGACAACUGGAAAGAAAAGACCACAAAUUGUGGUCAAAUGAAAGGAUGUUUUCAAAAGAAGAAUUCACGCCAAUGCAAAUCAGAACCACAUCAGAUGCAGCCAAGCAGUGAGAAUCAUAGGACCCCUUCAAGUUACUACCCUGUAUUUGUGCUCCUUGACUAGUAAAAGCUGACUCCACUCCCUCUUUUUCACUCUCUCCCCAGUUUUUGUAACCUAAUGUCGUGCUUCAGCUGAAAGCACUCUCCAACCAUCUCUUACUAGACCCGUUAUCUACUUGGCACCACAGAGAGUGCUAGAUUUGGUCGUUGGGAAGACCUGAAUUCAAAUGCCACUAACUAGAUAUGGGACUUGAGCAAGACACAAUCUUCCUCAGCCUGUUUCCUCAUCUGCAUAAAGGGGGCAAAUGAUAGCAGCUACCUCUCAUCAGGGGAGGAUAGAAUUGGAUUAUUUGUAAAGCUCUUUGCAGGCUCUAUGGCAACAUUAAAGCCAGAUGCUAUUAUGACCAUAUCCAAGCUUGGUCCAUUACCAACUACUGACUGGACAUCUCAAACUGAAAUCUGUCUAAACUUCACUUUGUACCCCCAACUUUCCCAGCUACCCAACUGGUGAUGUUCUGAAAGAAACUAGCAGGUACAAACCCUCUGAGCCAGCUGGAUGUAUUCUAUCUCCAGAGGAUCUUUGACAAAAAGAUCCAGGAUCCACGGAAAUAACUGUAGGCUGACCUUUGGGGAGAGGCAAAGAACUAGAAUAGAAACCACUGGGAAAUAGACCAGCAUCCCAUGGUGUAAGAAUGGUGGUACCCGGUACGGGGAACAACACUACAUAUAAUCUGAUGCAAUGGAGAGAGAGCCAGGAAAACAUUCCUGACUCCAGUGCAGAUGGGAAGAACAAGAAAAUAGCAACAAUGCUUCCAAAUCUGUUCUUCAAUCAAAGAAUUGGAAAUUGAAGGGCUAACCAUCCACUGGGGAAUGUGGCAUGGAGUGGUUAUGGAAUACUGAACAGGAUGACUUCUUUAAGAACUGGAAGGAUCUAGGUGAACUGAUGUUGAGUGAAAUAAGCAGAACCAGAACAUUGGACACAGUAACAGCAAUAGCAUACGAUGAUCAACUGUGAAAGACUUGGCUAGGAUUUAUGAUAGGGAAUGCCAUCCACCUUCAGAGAAAGAACCCGGGGAGUUGGAUACAGAUCACAGCAGACGAUCGUUCACAUUCGCUGAUUUACGGUUUUAUUUGGGGUUAGGUUUUAUAGGAGUGUUCUCUUACAAUGACCAAUAUGGAGGUAUGGUUUGCAUAAUACAUGUACAACCCAGAUUCAUUUACUUACCAUCUCUUGAGAGGAGGAGGAUGAAAGGGAGACACUUUGGAUCUUAUAAUUUUGGAAAACGUGUUGAAAAUUGCUAUUACAUGCAAUUGGGAAAAGAAAAUAUCUUUGAAUAAAAAAAAAGUCCAUCAUCAA